GACGAACGCUGGCGGCGUGCUUAACACAUGCAAGUCGAACGGAAAGGCCCUGCUUUUGUGGGGUGCUCGAGUGGCGAACGGGUGAGUAACACGUGAGUAACCUGCCCUUGACUUUGGGAUAACUUCAGGAAACUGGGGCUAAUACCGGAUAGGAGCUCCUGCUGCAUGGUGGGGGUUGGAAAGUUUCGGCGGUUGGGGAUGGACUCGCGGCUUAUCAGCUUGUUGGUGGGGUAGUGGCUUACCAAGGCUUUGACGGGUAGCCGGCCUGAGAGGGUGACCGGGCGCAUUGGGACUGAGAUACGGACCAGACUCCUACGGGAGGCAGCAGUGGGGAAUAUUGCACAAUGGGCGGAAGCCUGAUGCAGCAACGCCGCGUGCGGGAUGACGGCCUUCGGGUUGUAAACCGCUUUCGCCUGUGACGAAGCGUGAGUGACGGUAAUGGGUAAAGAAGCACCGGCUAACUACGUG
rnacentral:rRNA from 1 species